GCGGUCGUGGCGGAACGGUAGACGCGCAGCGUUGAGGUCGCUGUGGGAGAGAUCCCGUGGAGGUUCAAGUCCUCUCGACCGCACCA
rnacentral:tRNA from 1 species